ensembl:lncRNA novel transcript
AGAGCAAGAGCAGAGGAGUCCCUGGUCUCUCUGCUGCCAACUGCGCACCUUCUCAAGGUAUCCAACCAAGGCAGACUAAAUGAUUCGGAUAAUUGCUUGAAUGGCACUGCUUGCUGAAACUGUUAUUUAAAAGAUGUGAAAAAGAUGGAAAGUACAGAGGAAGCCUAUACAAAUACCUCAACAAUUGCAAGGCAUUUUGGGUAGAAAAAGUGUUCAAGAUAUAAAGCUUGUUUCAUUCAAAAAAGAAUAAUUGAGAAGGAGAAUUUGAAUAUUGUUGUCAAGUCAAAACCCAGAACUUAUCCUGGCCUUGGAGUGUAAGAGAAGAUGGACAGGAUGGAGUAGACUGAGGCAAUGGGAACAACAGUACCAGAAUUGUUGUCAUCCUUUCUCUACGACUCCAAGAGAAACUUUAUACUGGAGGAAGAAUAUUCUACCACUUUGGGAUGCUUCCAAAGAAAUGGGAUACCAAAGGAGUGAACUUCAGGUCAUUGGAAGUGGCCAAGCUGGAGGGCGACCUAUGGAGACAUGGUGAGACUGGAAGACCUCUUGGGUCCCUUGUACCUCUGAGAUUCAAGGAUUUUGGGAUCAUUGGUGAUAACCCCUAGAAUCAGGUUAAACCCUAGAAAACAUGCUUGGAUAGGGGGCCUCUAAGCAACUAACAAAUAUUUCAUGCAAAGAAGUAAUGCUAUUGGUAGAGAUUCUGAGGUCAGAUACCUUGUUAGAUUAGCAAGGUAUUUUCUAAUGCUUCUGAGAGGCAUCAAUUACAGACAAUCAUAAAUUUCAUCUGUGAAUAAAUCUCUGAUGCUGCUGCUUCCCCUGCAGUGCAGAACUGACCAGGGGCUCCUCUGAUGGAAAGCUAUUUGCUUUGCAGUUAGCAAAGGGAAUGAAAUUCUUUUUGAAUUCUUUGAUGGCAUAUCCAGAAAUUAAACUUAUUCUACUGUCCCUUGAAAUGUAAAGUCACAUGGCAUCCAUUUGGUAUUUAGUGCAUGCAAUCUUGCUUGAUGAGUUGUUGUUAGGUGCACAGGUUUUGUUUCCUCAAUUCAUGUAUUACCUUCCAGAGGGAGGAGCUGUGUCUUACACUUUGUAUCACUCACAGUGUCUAGCAGCAUAUUCUAUACAUAUUGGUGCUCAAUGAUUGUUUAUUAAAUCAUUGACAUGAGCUAAUAUAGAGCUUGAUAGAAAUGAUUGAGCUAAGUUUAUUUUAAGGAUGAUAGUCAAUGUGUCUCUUCACUAAAGACAAUACUUGUCAUUGUUUUUUGCUCCUUUAUCUUCACAGUCCACUUCUGUAUGUUCUCCUGUGGGUCACAGGACUGUCUAUGCAUCCAUACAAAAUGCAAAACAGGGGAUGACAUCCUAGAAUGAAUUGUGGCAAAACAGCUUCAAACUAGCCAAGAAGACAAACAAAA